AAAUAACUCCUCUUGUCAUUUUUAUAACAUCCCUGAUUCAGCUUAUGCAGGCGUUGUUCAAUAUUCAUCCAAAAUGGCUUCUGUCUUGUUUAUCACAUGUUGCUCAUAUAGAAAACAAAAAGUGUAAAGCACUACGUGCAUAGCGCUUACAAAUCAGGGUUGUAAAAAAACUGUCCUUUCACCCAUUCCAUUGUGUGAAUGGCCUUUAGAUUUUUUAUCAGUGCAUACUUGAUCAUUUUUCCUAAACGAAACAUUUUUAAAGUUACAACCAUAUGGAGGCCGGAGUUUUUUCGAAUGUUUAAUAUUACCUCAUUCUUUCACCCUUUUUCAUUAUGUCUAGUCAUUUUCUCUUUGUUAUUUAUUACAGCUUGUAUUUUCCUUCUUUUAGCACACUGUUUAAGACUUUCGCUUUUACGAUCAUCGUGUUUUUCAUCUCAGGAAAUGAAAUUUUUAAAAGAAAUAAUCAUGGUCAAUCAGUUUUCAUGAUGAAACAUUGUGACUGGACCAAUCACAUUGGUUGUUAAUAGUAGGUUUCCAAAGACCGGUGCAUUUCAUCAUCACAAAAUUGUUGUAUAUGUUCUGCAUCCCCCAUGUCAGUCAGAAUAAAAUUGAUAGUAUGCUGG
rnacentral:sRNA from 1 species